rnacentral:rRNA from 1 species
CGAACGAGAAAGUGGAGCAAUCCAUGAGUAGAGUGGCGUACGGGUGAGUAACACGUGGGUAAUCUGCCUUCUGGUGGGGAAUAACUCUGGGAAACCGGAGCUAAUACCGCAUAAGCCCGAGAGGGGAAAAGAGAAAUUUGCCGGAAGAGGAGCCCGCGGCUGAUUAGCUAGAUGGUGGGGUAAGAGCUUACCAUGGCAGAGAUCAGUAGCCGGCCUGAGAGGGCACACGGCCACACUGGCACUGAAACACGGGCCAGACUCCUACGGGAGGCAGCAGUGGGGAAUCUUGCACAAUGGGGGAAACCCUGAUGCAGCGACGCCGCGUGAGCGAUGAAGCCCUUCGGGGUGUAGAGCUCUUUCGACCCGGAAGAUAAUGACGGUACGGGAAGAAGAAGCUGCGGCUAACUACGCGCCAGCAGCCGCGGUAAUACGUAGGCAGCGAGCGUUGUUCGGAGUUACUGGGCGUAAAGCGUGCGUAGGCGGUGGUGCAAGUCUGUUGUGAAAUCUCCCGGCUCAACCGGGAGGGUGCGGCGGAAACUGUGCUGCUGGAGUACGGGAGAGGCAGGCGGAAUUCCUGGUGUAGCGGUGAAAUGCGUAGAUAUCAGGAGGAACACCCGUGGUGUAGACGGCCUGCUGGACCGUGACUGACGCUG